CCCUUAGACGUUCUGGGCCGCACGCGCGCUACACUGACCAGUGCAACAAGCAUCCGUCCUUGGCCGACAGGCCCGGGCAAUCUUUGAACGCUGGUCGUGAUGGGGAUAGACUUUUGCAAUUUUUGGUCUUCAACGAGGAAUUCCUAGUAAACGCAAGUCAUCAACUUGCAUUGAUUACGUCCCAGCCCUUUGUACACACCGCCCGUCGCACCUACCGAUUGAAUGGUCCGGUGAAGCCUCCGGAUUGGCGCGCACCUCGGUGCCGCCGAGAAGUUGGCUAAACCUUACCAUUUAGAGGAAGGUGAAGUCGUAACA
rnacentral:rRNA from 1 species